rnacentral:tRNA from 1 species
GGUUAGGACAUCAGGUUUUCAUCCUGGGAACAGGGGUUCGAUUCCCCUACGGGUCAUGUCCA